GACGAACGCUGGCGGCGUGCUUAACACAUGCAAGUCGAACGGAAAGGCCCUGCUUUUGUGGGGUGCUCGAGUGGCGAACGGGUGAGUAACACGUGAGUAACCUGCCCUUGACUUUGGGAUAACUUCAGGAAACUGGGGCUAAUACCGGAUAGCAGCUCCUGCUGCAUGGAGGGGGUUGGAAAGUUUCGGCGGUUGUGGCUGGACUCGCGGCUUAUCAGCUUGUUGGUUGGGUAGUGGAUGACCAAGGCUUUGACGGGUAGCCGGCCUGGGAGGGUGACCGGCCACAAUGGUACUGAGAGACGGCCCAGAGGCCUACGGGAGGCAGCAGUGGGAAAUAUUGCACAGUGGGCGGACGCCUGAUGCAGCGGCGCCGCGUUCGGGAUGACGUCCUUCGGGUUGUAAACCGCUUUCGCCUGUGACGAAGCGGUAGUGACGGUAAUGGGUAAAGAAGCACCGGCUAACUACGUG
rnacentral:rRNA from 1 species